rnacentral:rRNA from 1 species
UACGGAGGGUGCAAGCGUUAUCCGGAUUCACUGGGUUUAAAGGGUGCGUAGGCGGAUAUGUAAGUCCGUGGUGAAAUCUCUGGGCUUAACCCGGAAACUGCCAUGGAUACUAUGUGUCUUGAAUGUUGUUGAGGUGAGCGGAAUAUGUCAUGUAGCGGUGAAAUGCUUAGAUAUGCCAUAGAACACCGAUUGCGUAGGCAGCUCACUAAGCCUGGAUUGACGCUGAGGGACGAAAGCGUGGGUAGCGAACAGG